rnacentral:ribozyme from 13 species
UCUUUCUUUUCAACUUUCUUCUUUUCAACUUUUUUCUUUUUUUGAAAAACUUUUUUUUGGAUUGGUGCUCUUUCAAUAAGAGAAAGAAGAGUUGAGUAAAAAAGAGAGGAAGGAAGCCAAGAAAGAAGAGAAAGAGAAUUUUUUCUUUCUUUUCCUAAACUUUUUGUCUUAUCAAAAUAAUUGAAAAAAUGAAGCAUCCCAGAAUCAGUGUGAGUUAUGCUAACAGUUUUUAAAGAGUCAGACUCAAAUAAAC